rnacentral:rRNA from 1 species
UACGAAGGGGGCUAGCGUUGUUCGGAAUUACUGGGCGUAAAGCGCACGUAGGCGGGUUGUUAAGUCAGGGGUGAAAUCCCGGGGCUCAACCUCGGAACUGCCUUUGAUACUGCAAAUCUCGAGUCCGGAAGAGGUGAGUGGAAUUCCUAGUGUAGAGGUGAAAUUCGUAGAUAUUAGGAAGAACACCAGUGGCGAAGGCGGCUCACUGGUCCGGUACUGACGCUGAGGUGCGAAAGCGUGGGGAGCAAACAGG